ACUGAGACACGGCCCAGACUCCUACGGGAGGCAGCAGUGGGGAAUAUUGCGCAAUGGGCGGAAGCCUGACGCAGCGACGCCGCGUGGGGGAUGACGGCCUUCGGGUUGUAAACCUCUUUCAGCAGGGACGAAGUUGACGUGUACCUGCAGAAGAAGCGCCGGCUAACUACGUGCCAGCAGCCGCGGUAAUACGUAGGGCGCAAGCGUUGUCCGGAAUUAUUGGGCGUAAAGAGCUCGUAGGUGGCUGGUCGCGUCUGCCGUGAAAGCCCGCAGCUUAACUGCGGGUCUGCGGUGGAUACGGGCCGGCUAGAGGUAGGCAGGGGCAAGUGGAAUUCCUGGUGUAGCGGUGAAAUGCGCAGAUAUCAGGAGGAACACCGGUGGCGAAGGCGGCUUGCUGGGCCUUACCUGACGCUGAGGAGCGAAAGCGUGGGGAGCGAACAGGAUUAGAUACCCUGGUAGUCCACGCUGUAAACGUUGGGCGCUAGGUGUGGGACCCUUCCACGGGUUCCGUGCCGGAGCUAACGCAUUAAGCGCCCCGCCUGGGGAGUACGGCCGCAAGGCUAAAACUCAAAGGAAUUGACGGGGGCCCGCACAAGCGGCGGAGCAUGUUGCUUAAUUCGACGCAACGCGAAGAACCUUACCAAGGUUUGACAUCACCCGGAAACGGCCAGAGAUGGUCGCCUCUUCGGACUGGGUGACAGGUGGUGCAUGGCUGUCGUCAGCUCGUGUCGUGAGAUGUUGGGUUAAGUCCCGCAACGAGCGCAACCCUUGUUCCAUGUUGCCAGCACGCCCUUCGGGGUGGUGGGGACUCAUGGGAGACUGCCGGGGUCAACUCGGAGGAAGGUGGGGAUGACGUCAAGUCAUCAUGCCCCUUAUGUCUUGGGCUGCAAACAUGCUACAAUGGCCGGUACAGAGGGCUGCUAAACCGCGAGGUGGAGCGAAUCCCUAAAAGCCGGUCUCAGUUCGGAUUGGGGUCUGCAACUCGACCCCAUGAAGUCGGAGUCGCUAGUAAUCGCAGAUCAGCAACGCUGCGGUGAAUACGUUCCCGGGCCUUGUACACACCGCCCGUCACGUCACGAAAGUCGGCAACACCCG
rnacentral:rRNA from 1 species